CGUAUGUAAGGUUUAGACCCAAUUCCAAGGUAGUGUGUAAGGACUUUAUUUCAAAUUCAAUAAGCAAUACAACUUUCUUACCAUAGAGGAUUCCAUAAGGGAUAAGGGUGGGAGCGUUGGCAUGCUGUAGAUGGCGGAGGCGGAGGCAUUGCACACCCCAAUACAAGAGAACGCAAUACAGAGGAAGAUGGCAUAAACAAAAGAUCUCGGUUAGCGUUUGCUAAAGGAGCCAGAAAACCAAGAUGAUAGAAGGCACCAUUUUCGAAGAGAGGGCCGCCAAACAGGGCUUGCAAAGUUCAAAUCUGGGGAUUGGCAGAGUCUACAGGUUAAAAUAAACAGUUGGCGAAAAUCACCUGAUAGUUUGCAUGAUGUGUACAGCUAGACAGCCGGGGAAGACUGCAGGGCAUGCAUUUGACCGAUAGCGGUAAUAAAAAAGAAGAGGCUUAAUAAAAAUUUACAGUUGCAGGGUUUUGCGGGCACGACAAUAGGAGGUUCUGUCUUGUGAGUCUUUUUUCCCCUCCAUCUCAAUUCUGUACGUGGGCUGGGGUUUACACCAGUUUAUUGUUGUUUUUUUGUUUUUUAUAGUUUUCUUAGCGAAUCAAUAUUUCUGCGAUCUGUAUUGUGAAAGCUAAAGUCCAUCAGAUGCCAGUAUCAUAAGUUCACAAUCAGAUGUAAUACGCAGCUUUCUGGUGUCUGGUUCAGAGGAUAGCCAUCGUUUUAGGGGAAAAUCUCCUAUGCUUCUAGAUACAACUAGGGUUCCCUGUACUCUCGAGGCAAUCAUGAUGAAUGUAUUCUUUUGAAUUUUUCUAGAUUCAAUUAUGACACACUAUCGAAUCCAGAAAAUUUUAAAAGAAUUAAUAUAAUUUUUUAAUAUACCACUCAUUUUUUGUGCUA